GUUUGGGGAGAGCGGCGGGGGAGGCGGCAGCGGAGAGCUAACAACACAGAUCCCAUGUAGUUGGAGAACCAAAGGCCUCAUACAUGACAAAAAGACUGAACCGUUCAGGUUACUUGCAUGGAGUUGGUGCUUAAAUGUUCCUCAACUUAAAAGGGAUGAGGAGACCUUGGAGACGGUUCUGAGGAGACUCAAAAGAUGAUUAUAUGAUUGGAAGUCAGUCCUAUGAGGAAAGGUUGGGAGAUGGAAGGUUAAGAGGCAACUUAAUAACUCUGUAAAAAACAUAAAUGGAUCCUUUAUUAGGCAUGGUGACCAGCUGUUUUCCAGCUUCAUUGAUGCUAGAAGAAGAGAAAAAUAGGUUUAAAUUGAAGCAAAGGGUCGUUGUGUAAAGAACUUGUUGCUAAUGAUGGUUGUCAUUAUGGUGAUGGUGCAAAGUUUACCAAAAUAAUUUUAUGAUCUUCUCUGGAGGUGAAUUUUAUAG